rfam:Oryza meridionalis cultivar OR44 (W2112) chromosome 1, whole genome shotgun sequence.
AAUAAAUGCAGUUUGCACUAUUCAUGUUUAACGUUUUACCGUUCGUCUUGUUUGAAAUUUUUUUAUGAUUAGUAUUUUUAUUAUUAUUAUUAGAUGAUAAAACAUGAAUAAUACUCAUGUGUGACUAAAUAUUUUCAAAAUUUUCACAAUUUUUUUAAAUAAGACGAACAGUCAAAUGUUGGACACGAAUAUCCACGGUUACACUUAUU